GACGACGCUGGCGGCGUGGAUUAGGCAUGCAAGUCGAACGGUAUCAUCCUUUCGGGGGUGAGAGAGUGGCGAACUGGUGAGUAACACGUAGGUUAUCUACCCUCAAGACGGGGACAACCCAGGGGAAACUUGGGCUAAUACCGGAUGUGAGCAACUUUUAGUUGUUUGAAAGGUGGCGUAAGCUGUCGCUUGGGGAUGAGCCUGCGUCCUAUUAGUUAGUUGGUGAGGUAACGGCUCACCUAGGCAAUGAUAGGUAGGCGGCCUUAACGGGUGGUCGCCCACACUGGGAUUGAGAUACGGCCCAGACUCCUACGGGAGGCAGCAGUCGAGAAUAGUCUACAAUGGUCGGAAGACUGAUAGUGCGACGCCGCGUGAACGAUGAAUCCCUUCGGGGUGUAAAGUUCUUUUAUAUGUGAGCAGUGCUUCUUAUAUUAACAGUAUGGGGAGAGAGAUAUUAGCAUAUGAAUAAGCAACGGCUAACUCCGUG
rnacentral:rRNA from 1 species